AUCGCUUCUCGGCCUUUUGGCUAAGAUCAAGUGUAGAUUUUGCAUUCUUCAGAUUGUAUUUUAUUAUUUCACAUGCAUUUUCUCUAUUUGAAUGCAUCAUAA
rnacentral:snRNA from 1 species